rnacentral:rRNA from 1 species
AGGUUACUGCUAUCGAGGUUCGACUAAGCCAUGCGAGUCGAAUGUAGCAAUACAUGGCGUACUGCUCAGUAACACGUGGACAACCUACCCUUAGGCCUGGGAUAACCCCGGGAAACUGGGAAUAAUACCGGAUAUCUCGCGAAUGCUGGAAUGCGUCGCGAUAGAAAGCUCCGGCGCCUAAGGAUGGGUCUGCGGCCUAUCAGGGUAGUAGUGGGUGUAACGUACCUACUAGCCUACGACGGGUACGGGUUGUGAGAGCAAGAGCCCGGAGAUGGAUUCUGAGACACGAAUCCAGGCCCUACGGGGUGCAGCAGGCGCGAAAACUUUACAAUGCUGGAAACAGCGAUAAGGGGACCUCGAGUGCCAGGAUAUAAUCCUGGCUGUCGUAAUGCCUAAAAAGCAUUGCAUAGCAAGGGCCGGGCAAGACCGGUGCCAGCCGCCGCGGUAACACCGGCGGCUCGAGUGGUAACCGCUAUUAUUGGGUCUAAAGGGUCUGUAGCCGGCUGACUAAGUCUCUUGGGAAAUCUGACAGCUUAACUGUCAGGCUUUCAGGAGAUACUGAUUGGCUCGAGACCGGGAGAGGUGAGAGGUACCUCAGGGGUAGGGGUGAAAUCUUGUAAUCCUUGAGGGACCACCAGUGGCGAAGGCGUCUCACCAGAACGGAUCUGACGGCAAGGGACGAAAGCUAGGGGCACGAACCGGAUUAGAUACCCGGGUAGUCCUAGCCGUAAACGAUACUCGCUAGGUGUCGGCCACGGUGCGACCGUGGUCGGUGCCGUAGGGAAGCCGUGAAGCGAGCCACCUGGGAAGUACGGCCGCAAGGCUGAAACUUAA